rnacentral:rRNA from 1 species
GUGUGAGUAACACGUGGGUGAUCUGCCCUGCACUUCGGGAUAAGCUUGGGAAACUGGGUCUAAUACCGGAUAGGACCAUCGUUUAGUGUCGGUGGUGGAAAGUUUUUUCGGUGUUGGAUGAGCUCGCGGCCUAUCAGCUUGUUGGUGGGGUAAUGGCCUACCAAGGCGUCGACGGGUAGCCGGCCUGAGAGGGUGUACGGCCACAUUGGGACUGAGAUACGGCCCAG